CAUUGUUAUCUCCUACACUUGUUUAAUAAAUUUCUUCGACUUGUACGAUUUCAACAUCGGGUUCUAGAUCUCCAUCGUCGCUCUAUGGAAUCCAUGGAACUUGAUGAAUCAAUUGUCAGAUUGAAGUUCUUAAUUGUCCAUCUUUCUCAAGUUUAAAGAACCAAACUACAUAUUCAUUAUUUAGGUAUUCAUUCUAAUUUCAUAUGUAAAACAAACUUUUUAUUUUAUUUUGCUUAUUUUGUAUUUACAAUAUUACUUUGCAUACCAAAAAGCUUGCAUUUAGAUUUGAUUUUGUAUUCGUCCUAAUGGUAUACUAUCAAAUUUUAUAUUUAUAUUUGAUUUGUAUUCAUUCUCAAUUCUAAACAACUAAAAUACAGUUUAUUUAUGUUAUAUAUGCAUUCAACCUAAUUGCAUCAGUAAAAACCAAUUUUGUAUUUUAUUUUACUCAUUUUGUGUUUUCAAUAUCCCUUUGUAUACCAAAUAGUUUAUAUUUAGAUUUGAUAUUGUAUUCAUUUUUAAUUCUGGAUAAUCAAAAUAUAAUUUGUUUACGUACUCAUUAUAUGAGUAUUUAUACUAAUUGCAUUAGUAAAAUAGAUUUUUUAGUUUAUUUGACUCAUUUUGUAUUUUCAAUGUCACUUUAUAUGUCAGCUAGUUUAUAUUCAGAUUUGAAUUUGUAUUUUCAUAAUGGUAUACAAUCAGGUAUUGAAUUGUAUGGUCUAAUUUUUCAAUUGAAAUAAGUAUUUAUCGUGCUCAGUUUGUAAAAAAAAAGUUCAUUCAAAAUUUUGAAUACACAAAAAUCAUAUUUAAUGAAUUUUAUCCGAAUACAAAAAAAUCAUAUUUAAAGAAGUUCAUUCGAAUACAAUUCAGAUAAAAUUAUAUUUAAAAAAGUAAAAAUAAGUAAAGAUAAAAAAUUAAGGGAAAUAUUUUUACCUUUUCUGAAUUAUUUUCUCCUAUGAUUCUCUCCAUUCUGUUAUUAAAAGUUUGUAUUCUUUCAAAUUAAAUAAACACAGUCAAUAUUAUAACAAACUAAAAUAUUGACAUUUUAGAUAAAUAUUGAAAGUGUUGACAAGUGACCCUAUUAAAUGCUAAAAUAUUGCUAUUUUGAAAAAUUUUCCUAAAUAAAAGUCCAAUUUGGACCAACCCAUAUUUUCCCCAUAAGCCCAUUCUUAUGAGGAAAAUAAAAGCCUUUUUAGGUCUUAUUUUCAGAUAUAAAAAGAGUUUUUUAGCAGCCAAAAAGAAAAAAAGAGAGCAGUGUUUCGCAGUCAAAAAUUCAGCCCUAACAGUCAACUUCAAAUUGCGAUUCCUGCUUUGUUUCUUGUCCGAUUGAGCUGAUUUUUGGACAGCAUAUUAUAUUAAUCUCAAUCUUUGAUUAGGAACUGACAGAGUUGGAUUUGGUGGCCUGCAGCUUCAGUUUUGCUGUCGUGAACAGUAGCUGCAAAAUUGGUGAUUUUGCUCCUUUAAUUCUCUAGAUUUGGUGCAAUCUUAUUUUGUUGUUGCUCAUUGUUUGGCACUUGUUUUGUGGCCAAUUUUGGAGAACAAUAUUGUAACUCUUGGUGAUUAUAGUGGAGCUUUUGGUCCCGUGGUUUUUUACUCUUCACAUCGAAAGGC
rnacentral:lncRNA from 1 species